rnacentral:ncRNA from 1 species
GAGCAUUCAUGGAUGAGGAGCAGUAAUUUCGGAUACGUUACGCAGAGAGCCGGUGCUUCAGGUGCGAGCCGGUUGACGAUAAUGAAAUGAACUCGCCUCGGAGAAACGGCGCUGAACGGACAUUCCUGUCCAUCUAUUAAGCACCGUCGGUCCGCCACCGUUAUCCGGCGCUUAAGUGAGCAGGGGAAUAGACUGGCAAGGUCGUCCUGCUAAUUAGGGUGGUACCACGGGAAUUCAGCCUCUCGUCCCUAGC